GACGAAGAUGAUGAGUGCUUCAUAUAUCUGACACCUCUUGUAUGAGAUGGAUCUUUGCUUGAAAAAGGUUCAUCUUUGAGCACAUAAAGCAACUCUCUGAGUC